AUUGAACGCUGGCGGCAUGCCUUACACAUGCAAGUCGAACGGCAGCACGGGAGCUUGCUCCUGGUGGCGAGUGGCGAACGGGUGAGUAAUACAUCGGAACGUACCCUGAAGUGGGGGGAUAACGUAGCGAAAGUUACGCUAAUACCGCAUAUUCUGUGAGCAGGAAAGAGGGGGGAUCGCAAGACCUCUUGCUUUAGGAGCGGCCGAUGUCGGAUUAGCUAGUUGGUGAGGUUAAAGGCUCACCAAGGCGACGAUCCGUAGCGGGACUGAGAGGAUGAUCCGCCACACUGGGACUGAGACACGGCCCAGACUCCUACGGGAGGCAGCAGUGGGGAAUUUUGGACAAUGGGCGCAAGCCUGAUCCAGCCAUGCCGCGUGAGUGAAGAAGG
rnacentral:rRNA from 1 species